UGAUGCUCAGAAGAUUGCCUUUUAUUUAUUUCAUAUGAUCAAAAUAAUGAUUCACACAACAUUUGCCAGUGCCCGUCCCGCUCAAACAAGAUCGUCCAACAUUGCUCGAGCAAGAGAAAAACAGCAACUGCAUGCGCUCGCUCAAAUAUUUCUCUCUUUCCCAGAAUGAACAUUCUGUGUUCCAAUACGCUUAGUAGUGGUAUGGAGGUGGUGGAGAUUUGUACUUGUACACCGGAGGAGGUGGAGAAUACACUGGCGGAGGUGGGGAUUUGUACUUGUACACUGGAGGUGGUGGGGAGUAAACCGGAGGUGGCGGAGACUUGUAUUUGUACACUGGUGGAGGCGGGCUGUGAACCGGGGGUGGUGGAGAUUUGUACUUGUAAACCGGUGGUGGUGGGCUGUGAACUGGGGGUGGCGGAGACUUGUAUUUGUAAACUGGUGGUGGUGGGCUGUAAACCGGGGGUGGUGGAGAUUUGUACUUGUAAACCGGUGGUGGUGGGCUGUGAACUGGGGGUGGCGGAGACUUGUAUUUGUAAACUGGCGGUGGUGGGCUGUAAACCGGUGGAGGUGGAGAUUUGUACUUGUACACUGGAG
rnacentral:lncRNA from 1 species